rnacentral:rRNA from 1 species
GUUGUAUGGUUAAGUGACUAAGCGUACACGGUGGAUGCCUUGGCAGUCAGAGGCGAUGAAAGACGUAGUAACUUGCGAUAAGCCCAGAUUAGGUAGUAACAACCAUUUGAGUCUGGGAUUUCUGAAUGGGGAAACCCACGUGCAUAAGCACGUAUCCUUACCUGAAUACAUAGGGUAAGGAGGCGAACCGGGGGAACUGAAACAUCUAAGUACCCCGAGGAAAAGAAAUCAACCGAGAUUCCGAAAGUAGCGGCGAGCGAAAUUGGACUAGCCCUUAAGCUUUACACGCGUUAGACGAACGGUCUGGAAAGUCCGACGAUACAGGGUGAUAGUCCCGUAGUUGACGACGUGUGUUCAGUGAAAUCGAGUAGGGCGGGACACGUGAUAUCCUGUCUGAAUAUGGGGGGACCAUCCUCCAAGGCUAAAUACUACUGACUGACCGAUAGUGAACCAGUACCGUGAGGGAAAGGCGAAAAGAACCCCUGUGAGGGGAGUGAAAUAGAACCUGAAACCGUGUACGUACAAGCAGUAGGAGCAGGCUUUGUCCUGUGACUGCGUACCUUUUGUAUAAUGGGUCAGCGACUUAUAUUCAGUGGCAAGGUUAACCAUCUAGGGGAGCCGUAGGGAAACCGAGUCUUAACUGGGCGUUCAGUCUCUGGAUAUAGACCCGAAACCAGGUGAUCUAGCCAUGGGCAGGUUGAAGGUUGAGUAACAUCAACUGGAGGACCGAACCGACUAAUGUUGAAAAAUUAGCGGAUGACUUGUGGCUAGGGGUGAAAGGCCAAUCAAACCUGGAGAUAGCUGGUUCUCCCCGAAAGCUAUUUAGGUAGCGCCUCGGACGAAUACUACUGGGGGUAGAGCACUGUUAAGGCUAGGGGGUCAUCCCGACUUACCAACCCUUUGCAAACUCCGAAUACCAGUAAGUACUAUCCGGGAGACACACGGCGGGUGCUAACGUCCGUCGUGGAGAGGGAAACAACCCAGACCGCCAGCUAAGGUCCCAAAUUACUACUAAGUGGGAAACGAUGUGGGAAGGCUCAGACAGCCAGGAUGUUGGCUUAGAAGCAGCCAUCAUUUAAAGAAAGCGUAAUAGCUCACUGGUCGAGUCGGCCUGCGCGGAAGAUGUAACGGGGCUAAGUAGUAAACCGAAGCUGCGGCAAUGUGCUUUUGCACAUUGGGUAGGGGAGCGUUCUGUAAGCGGUUGAAGGUGUGUGGUAACGCAUGCUGGACGUAUCAGAAGUGCGAAUGCUGACAUGAGUAACGAUAAAGGGGGUGAAAAACCUCCUCGCCGGAAGACCAAGGGUUCCUGUCCAACGUUAAUCGGGGCAGGGUAAGUCGACCCCUAAGGCGAGGCCGAAAGGCGUAGUCGAUGGGAAACGGGUUAAUAUUCCCGUACUUCUUACAAUUGCGAUGGGGGGACGGAGAAGGCUAGGUGGGCCUGGCGACGGUUGUCCAGGUUCAAGUGCGUAGGCUUAAGAGUUAGGUAAGGCCGGCACUAUCUAAGGCGGAGACACGACGUCGAGCACCUACGGGUGUGAAGUCAUUGAUGCCAUGCUUCCAGGAAAAGCCUCUAAGCUUCAGAUUGUAAGGAAUCGUACCCCAAACCGACACAGGUGGUCGGGUAGAGAAUACCAAGGCGCUUGAGAGAACUCGGGUGAAGGAACUAGGCAAAAUGGUACCGUAACUUCGGGAGAAGGUACGCUCUUGAUGGUGAAGUCCCUCGCGGAUGGAGCUGACGAGAGUCGCAGAUACCAGGUGGCUGCAACUGUUUAUUAAAAACACAGCACUGUGCAAAAUCGUAAGAUGACGUAUACGGUGUGACGCCUGCCCGGUGCCGGAAGGUUAAUUGAUGGGGUUAGACUUCGGUCGAAGCUCUUGAUCGAAGCCCCGGUAAACGGCGGCCGUAACUAUAACGGUCCUAAGGUAGCGAAAUUCCUUGUCGGGUAAGUUCCGACCUGCACGAAUGGCGUAAUGAUGGCCACGCUGUCUCCACCCGAGACUCAGUGAAAUUGAAAUCGCUGUGAAGAUGCAGUGUACCCGCGGCUAGACGGAAAGACCCCGUGAACCUUUACUACAGCUUGGCACUGAACAUUGACCCUACAUGUGUAGGAUAGGUGGGAGGCUUUGAAGCACGUACGCCAGUAUGUGUGGAGCCGUCCUUGAAAUACCACCCUUGUAGUGUUGAUGUUCUAACGUCGACCCCUUAUCGGGGUUGCGGACAGUGCCUGGUGGGUAGUUUGACUGGGGCGGUCUCCUCCCAAAGAGUAACGGAGGAGCACGAAGGUGGGCUAAUCACGGUUGGACAUCGUGAGGUUAGUGCAAUGGCAUAAGCCCGCUUGACUGCGAGAAUGACAAUUCGAGCAGGUGCGAAAGCAGGUCAUAGUGAUCCGGUGGUUCUGAAUGGAAGGGCCAUCGCUCAACGGAUAAAAGGUACUCCGGGGAUAACAGGCUGAUACCGCCCAAGAGUUCAUAUCGACGGCGGUGUUUGGCACCUCGAUGUCGGCUCAUCACAUCCUGGGGCUGAAGUCGGUCCCAAGGGUAUGGCUGUUCGCCAUUUAAAGUGGUACGCGAGCUGGGUUUAGAACGUCGUGAGACAGUUCGGUCCCUAUCUGCCGUGGGCGUUGGAAGAUUGAAGGGGGCUGCUCCUAGUACGAGAGGACCGGAGUGGACGAACCUCUGGUGUUCGGGUUGUGUCGCCAGACGCAUUGCCCGGUAGCUAAGUUCGGAAUCGAUAACCGCUGAAAGCAUCUAAGCGGGAAGCGAGCCCUGAGAUGAGUCUUCCCUGAUACUUUAAGUAUCCUAAAGGGUUGUCGGAGACUACGACGUUGAUAGGUCAGGUGUGUAAGUGCUGUGAGGCAUUGAGCUAACUGAUACUAAUUGCCCGUGAGGCUUAACCAUACAACACCCAAGGGGUUU